GGAAAUUCUGGAGCAGAGCGCUGGGGGAAAUUAGAAGUCUUUGUGGUGGAAGGCCUGGCCCCUGGAUGAGUGCACUGAAUUCUUUGUAUUCACAUCCUGUUCCUGUGUAUGUGUCAAGGAACGCAGUGGGGACUGGCUUUUUGGUGAAGUCUACACUGGAUGAUCCUCAGGGCAUCAUAAGCAGUAUGAGAAGCAAAGAGAUCAUUUGGAAGGAAAGAGGUGUGGGCACUAUCAGCCCCAGUGCCACAGUAGCAUUGAGAGCUGACCACCACAGGUGGUAAUGUUCAAGCUUCUAUUGCAUCCCACCUGCAAACAAUUCAGGAAUCAAAAUGGCCUGAGCAGGGGCUAUGUUGCCUGCCCAAGAAGGACAAGUCAAGGGAAGGCCUGAAGAGGAGAACACGAUCCUUUGGGCAGCAGGCUGUCCUCAAAGUGAGAGUGACUUGAGGUGUGUGGAGUAAGCUGUUCACACACUGUCAGGGAAAGAAGGGAGCUGUGUCCCCUGAGCCCAGGUUGCACUCAUCCACCAGAGCAUUGGGGCCAUCAGCAGGGUUGCUG
rnacentral:lncRNA from 12 species